CUGAUCAGCAACCUACCGUGUACCAGCUGUACGUCACAGGCAGGCGUCAGACUAGAGAGCCACAAGAGGGUGCUCUGGGACGGGGCAAUAUAGCCCAGGCAGGGUAUGUGCGCUGGGCCGCAUGCACAGCUGUGUUCCUGUAGGGCCCUGACUCGCCAUUUCUUUUGGAAGAAAAAGCAUUUUUUUCCUGUUAGGGUGGGGAGUGGGAACGGAGAUGCCGCUCCUGCAGAUCCCGCAGCUGGGCGAAAGAAAACUGGGUUGAGCCUCCUGAUCCUGACCAGUGUCUCUUUCCCUGUCUCCUUUAUCCCUCCUAAUGCUUGUUUUCCACAUCAGGUCCUGCCAUUGCAGCAAGAACACCCAUGAGUCAGUCGCACGGUGACCGAGGGGACGCUGACAGCACAUACAGCAACUUUGCACUACUGUAAAUACCACAUCUCUGGUUACCCCUCUGGGAAACCCAGCGACACCAGCGUGGAGCUGUACCCCGUCUGGCAAGCAGCUGAAGGAAGCAGGCGGCCGUCUCUAAGUCUGAGGUACCCAAGGAGGCCUGCAGACAAAUUAGCUGUGACUGGCUCUCCAGAUACCUCUUCCCAGGGUGGCCUGUGGUCAUGUUGGCUGGAGGGAGGAGAAACGUCAUUUGAAGAAGAGUCAAAUGAGAAAAGGGCAUCCGCGUGUGCAGGAGGAUGUCGCUGCUGGCUGAUAAGAGGCAUCGGCAGGAAGCAGACUAGCACGUGACGUGGCCAGUUGCCUGCUCAGAACUGGGCUGAGAACCUCCACCCUCCCCAGCUCAUACUUCGUGUGAUACAGAAACGACUGGCCAUCAUCGAUCCUCUCGACUGACUUCAAGCUGCUGCUGCUGGCCUGGGGUGGUGGAGAGCUCUGCAGCCCAUCACUAAUCCCUGGCACCAGCCAGGGCCAUCUUGCUUCUUUAUCGCAGCAGGUGAAUGCUGACGUCCCUGGAAACAAGGGGCUGUGCUCCAGGGCCUGUCAGCUCAUGUGACUGUCCAGAACCCCCGCAGGCGCUGGAAGUAAUUAUGAUCACGGAUGAAACCUAUCCACUUUCCAGAGACCCAUCAGCUCGGCUGGGGAGAACAGAUGGAGGCUACUGGAGUGAGCGUCACCAUCAUGGCUACCACCCCCACUGUCUCCUGGGACCCUGGGACCUUGUCUUCCUGAUUCAGAGGGAUGUCCUGGCCAACCCAGGCCAGAGAGAGGAACCCAGCUGACAUCACAACCUCGACCGGCUCCAGCUGAAUCCCAGACACCACCUGGGAUGAAACGGGAUCAGCCUUUCAAAACAACAGCUCCAGCCCAUCUCAAACCAACAUCUACUCUUGUCCCCAAAAGGACAGUUAUUACCAUCUUUGGGACCAUCUAAGAGUCUCUCUGACAAGAGGCUUUUUCCUUCUGAAAACUCUCCCCAGCUAAAGGCAGAAGGAGCAAGGGAUGGUGUUAAAAAUCAAAGCCUGACUCAGUACUUUCCAUUUCAAAUGCUUUCUCUGGUUUUCCUUCUUUUCUCUAUAAUAAAAGGGCAGAAGGAUUUUUAG